AUGAACGCUGGCGGCGUGCCUAAUCCAUGCAAGUCGAGCGAACGGACGAGAAGCUUGCUUCUCUGAUGUUAGCGGCGGACGGGUGAGUAACACGUGGAUAACCUACCUAUAAGACUGGGAUAACUUCGGGAAACCGUAGCUAAUACCGGAUAAUAUUUUGAACCGCAUGGUUCAAAAGUGAAAGACGGUCUUGCUGUCACUUAUAGAUGGAUCCGCGCUGCAUUAGCUAGUUGGUAAGGUAACGGCUUACCAAGGCAACGAUGCAUAGCCGACCUGAGAGGGUGAUCGGCCACACUGGAACUGAGACACGGUCCAGACUCCUACGGGAGGCAGCAGUAGGGAAUCUUCCGCAAUGGGCGAAAGCCUGACGGAGCAACGCCGCGUGAGUGAUGAAGGUCUUCGGAUCGUAAAACUCUGUUAUUAGGGAAGAACAUAUGUGUAAGUAACUGUGCACAUCUUGACGGUACCUAAUCAGGAAGCCACGGCUAACUACGUG
rnacentral:rRNA from 1 species